AUUGAACGCUGGCGGCAGGCCUAACACAUGCAAGUCGAACGAGUGGCGGACGGGUGAGUAAUGUCUGGGAAACUGCCUGAUGGAGGGGGAUAACUACUGGAACCGGUAGCUAAUACCGCAUACCAUCGGAUGUGCCCAGAUGGGCUUAGCUAGUAGGUGGGGUAAAGGCUCACCUAGGAGACGAUCCCUAGCUGGUCUGAGAGGAUGACCGGCCACAAUGGAACUGAGACACGGUCCAGACUCCUACGGGAGGCAGCAGUGGGGAAUAUUGCGCAAUGGGCGAAAGCCUGAGGCAGCAAUGCCGCGUGUAUGAAGAAGGCCUUCGGGUUGUAAAGUACUUUCAGCGGGGAGGCGUUACCCGCAGAAGAAGCACCGGCUAACUCCGUGCCAGCAGCCGCGGUAAUUC
rnacentral:rRNA from 1 species